GACAGAGGUGCCGAGCGUUAGGCGGAAUCACUGGGCUUAAAGCGUGUGUAGGCGGAUCUGUAAGUACCUUGUGAAAUCCCACGGCUCAACCGUGAAACUGCUUGGUAUACUGCGGGUCUUGAGCCACCUAGGGGCAAGUGGAACAAACGGUGGAGCGGUGAAAUGCGUAGAUAUCGUUUGGAACGCCAAUGGUGAAAACAACUUGCUGGGGUGUGCUGACGCUGAGACACGAAAGCCAGGGGAGCAAACGGG
rnacentral:rRNA from 1 species